AACGCACCUUGCGCCUCUUGGUAUUCCGAGAGGCAUGCCUGUUUGAGUGUCAUGAAACAUCAAUCCCACGGGUUUCUUACCUGUGUGGACUUGGACCUGGGCGUCUGCCUCACAAGGCUCGCCUCAAAUGACUCAGUGGGAACUUCUUGACCUACGCCCGACGUAAUAAGUUUCGUCACGGCCGGUCCUGAGGCCCGCUCACAACACCCCAUAUUUUUGACAUUGACCUCAAAUCAGGUAGGGCUACCCGCUGAACUUAA
rnacentral:misc_RNA from 1 species